AACGAGUGAAACGUGGUCAAGGAACUCGGCAUAAUGAUCCCGUAACUUCGGAAGAAGGGAUGCCUCCCGCUGUUGCUGACUUCGCGUCAGUUGCGGUGGAAGGCCGCAGAGAAUCGGCCCAAGCGACUGUUUAGCAAAAACACAGGUGCGUGCCAAGCCGCAUAAGGCGCCGUAUACGCACUGACGCCUGCCCGGUGCCGGAAGGUUAAGGGGAGAGGUUAGCCGCAAGGCGAAGCCUUGAGCCGAAGCCCCGGUAAACGGCGGCCGUAACAAUAACGGUCCUAAGGUAGCGAAAUUCCUUGUCGGGUAAGUUCCGACCUGCACGAAUGGCGUAACGACUUGGGCACCGUCUCGACCACGUGCUCGGCGAAAUUGCAGUCUCGGUGAGGAUUCCGAGUCCCCGCGACAGGACAAAAAGACCCCAUGCACCUUUACUGCAGCUUGUCAUUGGACAUUGCACUUCACUGUGUAGCAUAGGUGGGAGUCGGUGAAGCCGGGGCGCUAGCCUCGGUGGAGACAUCAGUGAAAUACCACCCUGUGAAAUGCGAUGCCCUCACCACGGUAGGCAAACCCUAUCUGGGACCGUGGCAGGCGGGCAGUUUGACUGGGGCGGUCGCCUCCGAAAGAGUAACGGAGGCGCGCGCAAGGUUGGCUCAGCGCGGUCGGUACUCGCGCUUAUAGAGUGUAACGGCAGAAGCCAGCCUGACGGUGAGACCGACGGGUCGAACCGCCACGAAAGUGGGCCGUAGUGAUCCGGUAGCCCGGGGUGGAGCGGCUAUCGCGCAACGGAUAAAAGGUACGCUGGGGAUAACAGGCUUAUCGCGCCCGAGAGUUCACAUCGACGGCGCGGUUUGGCACCUCGAUGUCGGCUUAUCACAUCCUGGGGCUGGAGAAGGUCCCAAGGGUCCGGCUGUUCGCCGGUUAAAGUGGUACAUGAGCUGGGUUCAGAACGUCGUGAGACAGUUCGGUCUGUAUCCGUCGUGGGCGUUGGAGUGUUGAGGGGAGCGGACUCUAGUACGAGAGGACCGAGUCGGACGAUCCGCUCGUGUCCCGGCUGUCCUGCCAAGGGCACCGCCGGGUAGCGAUGAUCGGCUGUGAUAACCGCUGAAUGCAUCUAAGUGGGAAGCACGCCCCAAGAUGAACACUCCCGAGGCUUCGAGCCUCCUAAGGGCCGGGGAAGACCACCCCGUCGAUAGGCCGCCCGUGGACGCAGAGUGAUCUGCUCCGAGCGCAGCGGUCCUAAUCGCCCGUGCGGCUUGACUAC
rnacentral:rRNA from 1 species